rnacentral:rRNA from 1 species
GACGAACGCUGGCGGCGUGCCUAAUACAUGCAAGUUGAGCGCUGAAGGUUGGUACUUGUACCAACUGGAUGAGCAGCGAACGGGUGAGUAACGCGUGGGGAAUCUGCCUUUGAGCGGGGGACAACAUUUGGAAACGAAUGCUAAUACCGCAUAAAAACUUUAAACACAAGUUUUAAGUUUGAAAGAUGCAAUUGCAUCACUCAAAGAUGAUCCCGCGUUGUAUUAGCUAGUUGGUGAGGUAAAGGCUCACCAAGGCGAUGAUACAUAGCCGACCUGAGAGGGUGAUCGGCCACAUUGGGACUGAGACACGGCCCAAGCUCCUACGGGAGGCAGCAGUAGGGAAUCUUAGGCAAUGGACGAAAGUCUGACCGAGCAACGCCGCGUGAGUGAAGAAGGUUUUCGGAUCGUAAAACUCUGUUGGUAGAGAAGAACGUUGGUGAGAGUGGAAAGCUCAUCAAGUGACGGUAACUACCCAGAAAGGGACGGCUAACUACGUG